UUUUCAGUUUGUUUCUUCAGGACAGAUUGGUCGGCUAUCAAUUCCGACCCUACCCAUACUUUUUCCGUUCGAUUCCGACAACUUUCAGUUUUUUUCCGGCGACUUUAUUGACUUUUCCGGCAGCUACAGUACUUUUCGGCCAGAAUUUCUUCAGGACAGUUUGCUCCACCUUGAAUUCCGAGCCUAUCCAUAUUUUUACUUUUCAAUUCCGACAACUUUGAAUUUUUCCGGCAGCUACAGUGCUUUUCCGGCAGCUACAAUGUUCCUGUUUUCUGGCAGCGCCAGUUUUCAGUCCUCUGUUUCAGUUUCAGCGAGUUUUCGGUUGAUAAUC
rnacentral:lncRNA from 1 species